UGUGCCUACGGGGCGCAGCAGUGGGGGAUAUUGCACAAUGGGGGAAACCCUGAUGCAGCGACGCCGCGUGGGUGAAGAAGCGCCUCGGCGCGUAAAGCCCUGUCAGCAGGGAAGAAAAUGACGGUACCUGAAGAAGAAGCCCCGGCUAACUACGUGCCAGCAGCCGCGGUAAUACGUAGGGGGCAAGCGUUAUCCGGAUUUACUGGGUGUAAAGGGAGCGUAGACGGCCAUGCAAGCCAGGGGUGAAAGCCCGGGGCCCAACCCCGGGACUGCCCUUGGAACUGCAUGGCUGGAGUGCGGGAGGG
rnacentral:rRNA from 1 species